GGAUGAAUAUUGGUCAAUGGGCGGAAGCCUGAACCAGCCAAGUAGCGUGAGGGAUGACUGCCCUAUGGGUUGUAAACCUCUUUUAUAAGGGAAUAAAAUACGGGACGUGUCCUGUUUUGCAUGUACCUUAUGAAUAAGGACCGGCUAAUUCCGUGCCAGCAGCCGCGGUAAUACGGAAGGUCCGGGCGUUAUCCGGAUUUAUUGGGUUUAAAGGGAGCGCAGGCGGUCUUAUAAGUCAGCGGUGAAAGCGUGUGGCUCAACCAUACAAUUGCCGUUGAUACUGGUAGUCUUGAGUGUAAACGAGGUAGGCGGAAUGUGAUGUGUAGCGGUGAAAUGCUUGGAUAUGUCACAGAACCCCGAUUGCGAAGGCAGCUUACCAGGAUACGACUGACGCUGAGGCACGAAAGCGUGGGUAUCAAACAGGAUUAGAUACCCUGGUAGU
rnacentral:rRNA from 1 species